rnacentral:tRNA from 1 species
GGUUGUGGCUCAGUGGCAGAGUGCUUGCCUAGCAUGUGUGAGGCACUGGGUUUGAUCCUCAGCACCA